GCCCCCCUCUCGACCUCUGCGCAAACUCCCCGUCCUGAGGUGUUCCCAUGGCAACGCCUCCGGUUCCCCAUCUGGCCUUGCGUAGCCCCCCUCCACCUAGGCCCCUUGGCGCCCCCACCGUGAAUCCCGCUCCCCUCGGCCCCGCUGCCGUCCCGCGGGCGGGUAGUGACCGGGCGGACAGCGAAGAAAGGCGCUAGAGAGCUUGAGGGGCGGCAAGAAGAGAGACAGACGGCCAAGCAAGAGAGAUGAUGCAUGGAGGGAAAAAUGCUGGGGGGAGACGCCACACGCAGGAGAAGGUCCCAGUAUAAUACACCCUUACAGCGAGACGAACAGGCGUACUUGUGGCACCGAUACAGACUAACACGGCUGCUACUCUGAAACGUUACAGCGAGGUGAGCAGGCUUUAUGGGGGGAUAGCUCAGUGGUAACACAUUGGCCUGCAGGUCAAGUGGUCCCUGGUUCAAACCCAGGUGCCUACUUCAAACUGCUACUUUCCCCAGCCCCGCUCUCUCCCUUGUGAGCUCCCAUCUCUCUCCCAGGGGCUGCAGGAGCCUCGCCAACCGGCGGCUUGGCUCAAUCUUUUCCCUUGUUUUGAAGCUGCUGCGGAUUCUCCGCCUUCCCCUCACCCUGGCCCCGCCCCGCCUGCCGCUCCGCUCUGCCUGGUCUAGGGUGGAAUCCCAGCAUGCCAUGCGCCUGAUUUGCAUCCCCUGCCGGCCCGCUCUGGUGCGCACAUUUGAACGAUUUCUGGGUACAGUACAGUAAAGUAAACGAAAAAGCCGUGACGGCACUAAAUGGGGGCGGUGGUGGGAUGUGACAAGUCGCUUCUCUCAAGGGGCGAACCGGCAUCUCGCCCUGACCCGUAAGACUGGAUCACAGACUGGGGAGGCGGGGCCGCCAGCUGCUCGUUAAAAAGGGCUUCUGCUAUGUAUGGCACAUGGAGUGGGGCGGCUGCGGCCUUACCCUGCCUCGUGCGGAAUCGACAUCAAGAGAUUUCGGAAGCACAAUUUUUGCUCCUGGGGCUGCUGGUAAUCGUUGGUUCCGGCGCCCCGAA